UACGUAGGGGGCAAGCGUUGUCCGGAAUUACUGGGCGUAAAGCGCGUGUAGGCGGUUGUUCAAGUCGGGUGUGAAAGCCUUGAGCUCAACUCAAGAAAUGCACUCGGUACUGGAUGACUAGAGGACCGGAGAGGAUAGUGGAAUUCCCAGUGUAGUGGUGAAAUACGUAGAGAUUGGGAAGAACACCAGUGGCGAAGGCGGCUAUCUGGACGGUUUCUGACGCUAAGACGCGAAAGCGUGGGGAGCAAACAGG
rnacentral:rRNA from 1 species